AUACGUAGGGGGCGAGCGUUGUCCGGAAUUACUGGGCGUAAAGGGUGCGUAGGUGGCUAUUUAAGUUGGAUGUGAAAUCCCCGGGCUUAACUUGGGUGGUGCAUUCAAAACUGGAUGGCUAGAGUGCAGGAGAGGGAAGCGGAAUUCCUAGUGUAGCGGUGAAAUGCGUAGAUAUUAGGAGGAACACCAGUGGCGAAGGCGGCUUUCUGGACUGUAACUGACACUGAGGCACGAAAGCGUGGGGAGCAAACAGGAUUAGAUACCCUGGUAGUCCACGCUGUAAACGAUGAAUACUAGGUGUAGGGGGUAUGAACUCCCCCUGUGCCGGAGCUAACGCAAUAAGUAUUCCGCCUGGGGAGUACGGCCGCAAGGUUGA
rnacentral:rRNA from 1 species